rnacentral:tRNA from 1 species
UAAUGGUUAUCUCAUUAGGCUCAUAACCUAAAGAUUGGAGGUUCAAAUCCUCCCCCCGC